rnacentral:misc_RNA from 1 species
CCGAGUUUACAACUCCCAAACCCCUGUGAACAUACCAAUUGUUGCCUCGGCGAUCAGCCCGCUCCCGGUAAAACGGGACGGCCCGCCAGAGGACCCCUAAACUCUGUUUCUAUAAUGUAACUUCUGAGUAAAACCAUAAUAAAUCA